CCAAAAUGAUGCGUAAGUGACAGAAUUUGAUUGGCUGCAAAGCAAGCGCACGAUUUCCACGAUAAUUUUGUUUUCGUGUUAAUUUCUUGAGAGUCUUGAAAGCAUGCCUUGAUUUGGCAGAAAUACUGGCCAUGUGUGGGCCACAUGUUGAAAGAAGAAGCAAGCAGUUCUAUUGCAUUUCAAAGUUGGAACAUAACACAAGCUAUUGAGCUGUUGAGUGUCACUGCCAGAUAUGGACUUGGCUUCAUGGUUAAUCUUUGAAUUCCAGGUGUGAAGAUGAAUUUUUGAAGAAUAAUGCUUGGGGACUGCAUUCUUAAAUCAUCAGUUUGUCUACAGAAAAAGAUAUAAAGACAGGACAGGUAACUGGUUUUAAUAAUGCAAGAAAUACACUUGCAGAACCACCAGGGAAGACAACUUUUCAUGAAAUUGAAAAUUGUACUGAUUGAAAAUUCAAAAGUUUGCAAUGGCAGACGCAGGGGAUGGAAUGUGUUGCUACAUGUGUACUUUAUUGGAAGAUCUGAGGACUCGCCUAAGUUUCCUCUUUGAUCAGGCACCAUACAACAAUGGUACUUAUUCCUAUUCUAAAAAGGUGAGCAGGCGUUACAUUGUAAAUUGUGUGGUUAUUUCUGCACACAAAAUAUGUCAAUUAAAAACUUUUGAUAAUACACAGCAUGAAAAAAACAACAAAAAAAUGUUUACAUUUAAAUGUGAUGUAUGUGAUUAUGCAAGUAAGUGAAAGGGUGAUCUGAAAUUGCAGGUGAGAAAACAUACUGGCAAGAAACUGUAUAUAAUAAAUAUGAGAACUGUGAUUACCCGUGUAGCUCGAGUUCUCAAGCUAUCAAAUAGUACCCUUAAACGCCAUAUGACAUUACACUCCAGGGAGAAGCGAUUAAAAUGUGAUGUCUGUAAUUACGCGACCAAUGAAAUCAUUGAUGUGAUGGACAUACUUGCAUGAGGAAACAUACAGAAGGGAACAAAUUUAAAUGUGGGGUUUGUGGUUACUGGUGUGAUCAGAAAUGCAGUAGAAAAUGACACUUGUCAAUACAUACUGGUGAAAGCCAAUUGAAAUUUGUCUUUUGUAAGUACUUGUGCAAUCAGAAAGUGCAAUUUGGUAAGACAUGUUAGAUUGCAUAAGAGGGAAAACAUGAUUAAUUACUU